UUGCAGAAGACCGGGUGGUCUUGUCAUCAAGAAACCGCUUUUAGUUGUGAUAUUUUUGUAUACUUAAUUUAUUAAAAAAUUUCAGUUUAACAAAGUCUCAUGGUGGCAUUAGAGUCACAUAUAAAAGCUAUAAGAUAAUCAAAAGAGCUGAAUUUGAUACACAUAAAUAUAUGAUUACAUUGUUAUAUUUAAUAUAUUGACUGACAUGUACGAAUUAUAAAUAAAAUCUAACAUAUACUUUGCUUUGAAGUUAAAUUUAUUGGUUGUUUUUUUUAGUUAUUAGUUUUAAUAUGCGUUUGUAAAAUUGUUUAUGCCUAGAACAAGUUUUUUUAAAUAAUAUUUUCAGAAAAUUACGGUAAUGUAAUUUUGUAAUUGUAGUGUUUUUAGAUAUAAGUUUGUUGUAGAAAUAAGAGCCGUGAUAAUAAGUUUGUUGUAGAAGUAAGGGCCGCGAAAUAAAGAAACAUGAUAGUUUUGUUUUUUUAAUUGGUAGAUUAAAAUUCACAACUUCUUGAGUAUCAUCUUUUUCUACUGCAUUUAAAAAACUCUUCUGAAAAAUGUAGUGGGAGAAGUCCAAGUUUAUGUUGAACAUGAACAACAAGCAUGUUUUUGCAGCAUGUUUUUGAUGUCGAUAGAGUGCCACUAGGUUAGAUCUAUGGGCAUUUGCCCAUAGAUCUAUGGGUAAAUGCCUAUGCUAUAUUUCCAUACGUAUAAUAGGUUUGAAUAAAAAGGAAAUAAAGUUGCUUUAGUUUUUUUUGGAGUAAUGUUGGCCUAGCUUUGUAAAUCAUACAAAUGUUGCUUCUUAUUUUUGUAUUUAAAAAGUUUAUGUAGGCUUUCCAUGAAAUAUUCUCAUCGAUAAGUAUCCCUAACAAUUUUGUUGCUUUGGUUCUUUUCGAUUAUUUUAUUUUCUAUUUUUAGAAAUGGUAACAUAUUUGGUAAAGAUUUUUUUCUUUGAUGGAAUGGAAUAGAAUGUAGAUAGUUUUUUCUGAAUUCAAUGAUAAUUUGUUAGAUUUUAACCAAGUAUUAAGUUUUUCAAGUUCAAUACUUGCAGUUUCAAAUAGUUCUGUAACAGAAGUAGAUGAAUAAAAUAAAUUAGUAUCAUCUGCAAACAUUAUGGCAUCGAGCUUGUUUGAGACUUUUGAAAGAUCAUUAAUUUAUAGAUCAUUAAAUUAAAUAAGAGUAAGGAAGCUAAAAUGGAACCUUGAGGAACUUCGCAUUUAAUUUUAAGCAAUUUUGAAUGGAUAUUUUAUCCGUAAUAACAGAUUGCUGUCUGUUUAUAAAAAAACUCUCAAACCGUUGUAAAGCUACAUUUUUAAUGCCUUUUUUUCCGAUCUAUAGCAUGAUCAACAGUACCGAAUGCUUUUAAUAGGUCAAUAAAGAUUCCUAGAACAAAUUUGUUAUUAUCAAAAGAGUCAUUUAUUUUAUUUACAAGAUCUAAUAUCGCAUGUUCGGUUGAAUGUUGCUUUUGAAAUCCGAAUUGUUUUUUGUUCAAGAUAUUGUUAUUAGUUAGGUAUUUAUAUAGUUUAUUGUCAACUAUUCGUUCUAGAAGUUUAGAAAAGACUGGAAUGAUUGAGAUGGGUCUGUAGUUAUAUUAGUGAAAAAGGCUCUACGGCUUUAAAUAUUGGUACGACUUUUGCAAUUUUUAAUUUGUCAGGAACAGUUCCUGUUGUAAUUGAAAAUUUGAAAAUUUUGAAUAUGGGUUUACGUAUCACCGGGAAGACACUUAUUACUAAAUUGCUACAAAUCUCAUCGAUCCCUGGUGCUUUGUUAAUCUUUAGAGUUUUUUGCACCAUCGAGUUCAUCAUAACUUAGACAAUUGAAUUUUAGUUCGUUAUGUUAGGUCUGUAAUAUAGGUUUCAAAAUAGGUUUUUGGGCAUUGAAUUUUGGACACCAUGUUAGGGCCGAUGUUUGCAAAGAAACUGUUGAAAUGUUCGGCAAUAGAGUUUUUAUCGUAGUAUUCUUCUGUAUUUCAUUCGCAACAAUUCUAUCAGGUAAGAUAUUUGUAAUGGUAUUUUUUGUCCUGAUUAUUUCUUUCAUGAUGUUCCAUGAUUUUUUAAUAUCACCAUUGGCAUUUUGAAGUAGUUUUGAAUAGUAUAUUUUUUUAAAGUUUUUUCUUAUUUUUUCAAAAAGAUUUUUAUAUUGCUUGUAGAUACACUCUAAAAACAGUCCGUUAAAAAAAGUAACGGAUUGCGCUUUUUCGUUAAAUUAACGGAUUAAUUCGUUACCAAAAACCAGAAAAUUAACAGAGUAAAAUUAACUAUUUACGGAUUCUUUGAAAUUUCGUUAAUUCAACGGAUUAAAUAUUCUAAUCGGUUAAAAAAAAAUUUUUCAGAAUAUUAUAGCUUUUUAUUUUGAAAAUGAUAAAGUUUUGAAUGUGUUUUUCUCACAUUUACAUUUACAUCGUAGAUAAAAGUUGGUUGCAGUAAGUGUAAUAUGCCAUUUUUUAAAAAGCUUUACAUUUAGUAGACACAGCAAAUGGAUAAAUAUAAUUUAAAUUAGGCUCUGUUAUUUGUAAUUUCGAAGGUUAUUUAGAUUAUUUUAAAUUUUCUAUAUAAAGCUUUAUAUAGAAAAUUUAACAAUAAUGUUUAUUUUGUUUUAAAUUAAAAGCCAUUUGUAUUACUAAAUAAUAUAUAAUAACAUAUAUGGUAAGUUAAUACAUACUAUAUAUGGUAAGUUACUACAUGUCUAAAUCUAGAAAAUUAUCCAAGAAUAUAUGCAAUCCAUAUAGUCUAUAUUAUAGAAAUAAAAGUUCAACUAAUCCUUUACUAGUAGUAAAGGGUUAGUUGAACAAUUAUUUCUAUAAUAUAGACUAAAUGGAUUAUUUAUAGUCUUUUUUAACUUUAUAUUUUAGACAUAUGACAUGUAGUAACAUACCAUAUUAGUUUAAAUCAGUUGUAAAAUUAAAAAUGUUAACAUCUUUGAUAGGUAUAUUUAUUUAGGUUAGUUAUAGCUAAGUUUACAUGGCUAAUUAAUAUGCUUUUAUAAAUUGCAAUUUUUAUUAAUUUCCAAAUUAAACAUGUGUCAUCCAAUAUCAUAAACGAAGUUUAUACUGGUGUGUUUAUAUUAUUUUAGAAUUUUUUGUUUUAGACACAUGGCAUUUGCUAUCCCACUGUAAGUUAAAACUAGUUGUAAAAUUAAAAAAUUUAUAUAAGAACUUCUAUUUCUUUUUACAUUCAUGUUUAUUUAAUUGAGUUACAACUAAGAUAAUAUAUGAGCUAUUUAUACUAUCUUAGAAUUUGCUGCUUUAGAGGCACGUCAUUUAAUGUCACAUUACACGUGGCAUGUGGUAUCACACUACACUUGGUAUAAGCUGUCAUACUAAUUUGCUGUUUUAGACACGUGGCUUGUGAUAUCUCACUAAUUAGCUAUUUUAAACAUGUGACAAGUGUUAUGACACUAUGUUGAUGUACGUAAAUCGUAUAGAGUCUUUCAGUUAUCAGAUAAUGUCAAGAAUUGACAGCAUGGUAUCCGAUUUAAAGUGCGAACCUGUGUACGAGUAACAACAGUAUUCAAAACCAAAACCUAUUUAAACCAACCAAACCAAAACUAGCAACCAAAAACUAAUAUCUUGGCAUUGGUUUAUUUUUAACAUCUAUUAUAUAUAUGUGUGUGUUUUAUAUAAAUGUACUAGCUUGAGU